CGCCCCUCUUCUUUUUCUUCCGCUCUCAAAGGCAAUGUUUUCAAGUGCUUCUGGACUGUGUUGUGGAGGCGUUUGGGUAGAUAAACCAGUCUCACAGAGAUAAAUUAAUGGCAAUGGAAGAAGAGUUAUUUGGAUUUUUUAUUCAAUUACAGCUGCCAUACAAUAUUUAGAAGAGUUAAGAAAUUUCAACAAGGGGGACACACAUCAGCCCAUUACAUGAUACAAUAACAGCAGCCAAGGAAUACAAAAAUCUGAGGAAGAGUUGGGAGCUGGCAGCAAUGAACAGAAGAACCACAUUAAGCAUCACGCCGUGGAUUGUGUUUGCUGGGAGUCAGGAAUUUGGAGGAAAGUGAAGGUAGCAAGGUAUUCCAUCUGUUUCCAGCCAAGGAAACCAACUGCAACUCUGGAAAUCAACUGCAACUCUGGAAGCACUCCAAAACAUGCUGCAAAAUGCUUCAUUCCUGAGCCAAAUGCAGUUGGCCUGCGCUGUACUGGAGCUAAAAAAAGAAGAAAAUGGGGGAAGAGGAAGACUUCGUACUUAUUUCUCUCCAGUCCUGAAGGCACAAUGAAAACCAACACUUUCAGCUUGAGACUUUAACUGCCAGGGUUCCAGCAGGGUUUGUCAAAAUGCCCUAACCAAAUGUGCAUUCAUUAUUCUUUGGGAACCCCAGUUUUUGUGGCCUUUUCCACAAGCCAUUCAGACCCCAUCAGCAUCCAAAUUUUCCCAGAAGGAUGUCUCUUGAUUUUAUUUCAUCGGAGUUCAAUGUCCUGUGUGGAUGGAGCCCUCUGUUGGGCCUUAACACACAGAAGAUUAUGGCUUUUCAUGCUUAGGAUUUAUUUCUUGGCAUUCAUCUACGUGCUUUUAAAUGCUCUGUCAGACAAGCCUGGACACUGCUCACGUUUAUAUAUGUGAGGUGGGAGUGGAAGGAAAAGGGUCAAGAUUCAGGUAGAAAAGAUGUGGCACUGAGAUUGAAAUGUUGCCAAUGAGCUGUAAGUGGAGGUGCUGUGUGCAGCUUUCAGAAUAUGCUUUUAAAGAGAACAGGCAUCUCUUCACGCCCUCCCUCCCACAGGGGCCUGGAAUGUGGCUACCUGGAGCUCCAGAAGCCACCUUGGAUCACAAGGACAAAGGUCACAACUGAGAUCAUGGAGCACUCACGGGCUGUAAGGAAACAGGUCCCUGAUCAAUUUGUGUUGAACCUGCCUUGGGUACCUACUUCCUGACUUCUUUUACAUGAAAACAAAAUCAGACAUGUUUAAGCCACCAUUGUUGGAUUUUGCUGCCAUGUAAAGCUAAAGUACUCCUGGGCCAGCCGAGUGAUUCAGUUGGUUAAAAGUGUGAGCUCUGAGCAACGGGAUCGCCGGUUCAAU